ACAAUUCUGCUCUUCCAGAUUUAUGUAAUACUCUGCAAUGAGUCCAUUUCGCAGAAGUCAUGGCAUCUGGUAAACGCUGUGGGUCGAGUUACCAUUGGUAAGCAUAGUGUUUAGAAAAAGAAACGUGAGAGUAGGAAAAGGAGGUAACUAGGGAGAGGGAGAAGAGAGGGUGUAGCCCAAGGAAGAAGAGAGGUUGUAGCCCAAGGAGGGGGAGAGGAGAAGCGAGAUAAUAAGAACAGAGAAGGUGAGAGGGGGGUAUUCUGGUUAGCUAGGGUGCGAGGUGAGCUGAGUGCACCGCCACUGCCCCUCCACCUCGUGGGACCAGUGACUUUUUUUGUUGCAAAAUACAAAGGUUACUACACUCUUCUUAAUCUUCCUCACCUGUUUGCAGAACAUUUAAUAUU